UACGAAGGGGGCUAGCGUUGUUCGGAAUCACUGGGCGUAAAGCGCACGUAGGCGGAUCUUUUAAGUCAGGGGUGAAAUCCCGAGGCUCAACCUCGGAACUGCCUUUGAUACUGGGGGAUCUCGAGUCCGGGGAGAGGUGAGUGGAACUGCGAGUGUAGAGGUGAAAUUCGUAGAUAUUCGCAAGAACACCAGUGGCGAAGGCGGCUCACUGGCCCGGUACUGACGCUGAGGUGCGAAAACGUGGGGGACAAACAGGG
rnacentral:rRNA from 1 species